UACGUAGGGUGCGAGCGUUAAUCGGAAUUACUGGGCGUAAAGCGUGCGCAGGCGGUUUUGUAAGCCAGAUGUGAAAGCCCUGGGCUUAACCUGGGAAUGGCAUUUGGGACUGCAAGGCUUGAGUGCGGCAGAGGAGACUGGAAUUCCUGGUGUAGCAGUGAAAUGCGUAGAUAUCAGGAGGAAUACCGAUGGCGAAGGCAGGUCUCUGGGCUGACACUGACGCUCAUGCACGAAAGCGUGGGGAGCAAACAGG
rnacentral:rRNA from 1 species